GUUAAAAAGCUCGUAGUUGGAUUUCUGUUGAGGGCAGUCGGUCCGCUCUUUGAGCGUGUAUCUAACUUGCCUUCGGCAUCCUCACGACUAUAAAACUGUGCUUGAGUGCACGGUUUGCAGUUCGUGACUUUUACUUUGAGGAAAUUAGAGUGUCCACUGCAGGCUAGCGCCAUGAAUACAUUAGCAUGGAAUAAUAAUACAGGGCUUUGGUCCUAUUUUGUUGGUUUCUAGGACUAGAGCAAUGAUUAAUAGGGA
rnacentral:rRNA from 1 species